rnacentral:rRNA from 1 species
CAGCAGUGAGGAAUAUUGGGCAAUGCCCGAAAGGGUGACCCAGCAACGCCGCGUGGAGGAUGAAGGUCGUAAGAUUGUAAACUCCUGUUAGAGGGGAAGAAUAACUAAGUUUGGAGCUUAGUAUGACUGUACCCUCAGAGAAAGCCCCGGCUAACUACGUGCCAGCAGCCGCGGUAAUACGUAGGGGGCAAGCGUUGUCCGGAUUUACUGGGUGUAAAGGGCGCGCAGGCGGAAUGGAAAGUCAGUGGUGAAAUCCUACAGCUUAACUGUAGAACUGCCUUUGAUACUUUCAUUCUUGAGUUCGGGAGAGAGAGACGGAAUUCCAGGUGUAGUGGUGAAAUACGUAGAUAUCUGGAAGAACACCAGUUGCGAAGGCGGUCUCUUGGUCCGAUACUGACGCUGAGGCGCGAAAGCGUGGGGAGCAAACAGGAUUAGA